UCAUCUCUUUUUAUCCACAUUCGUUUCAUCCUCAUUUGGUCUGUCCUCUAGCUUCUCUAUCACCGAUAAGAGGAGGGCCUCAGACAUCUUUCUGCUUCGACCAAACUGUCCUAAUAGCCAAUUUAAUAGAUAAAUUAUUAGUGUAGAAGAAAAAUGAUUUUUGGAUUGAAUAGAAUUCACUCAACCGCAAGAUUUCAAAAAUGAUUUUGGAUUGAAUAUUUUCGGAUCAAAUCCAACCGAUUUGAAAAUUCGAAUUUUGAAGAAAACGAAAUCGGAUAUGGACCAUAUUAUUCGAAAAUCCAAAUCCAAAAAUUUGAAUAUUUUCGGUGUAAAUCCAAUCCGAACCGAAAAAUUCGAAAUUUGAAAAAAAAAUAAUUAAAUAUUUGUAAAAAAAAUCCAAACUUAUAUACUCCAUCAAACUAACCAAUUAGACAAUUAUGACCUGAUUAAAAUCCUAAGUGAUGAGGACAAAAAUAUGCAUUCCUUGAAAACCGGAGAGUUAAAACAAAACCAACCCAAUUCGCCGAUAAACAGCGUUGUUCACAACUUUAUGGCUCUGCAGCCCUGAUUUCUCGGGAUUCAGCCUUAUCUCGAUAGGUCAUCACAUAUCGAUAAAGAAGGAGAUUAUCACAAAUAUUUAGAUAAACAUGAAUAAUUAUAGCUAUAUUAUAACUACAAAACGAGUCGUAUUCCUAGAAUUGUUAGUAUUUUGCCUAUAGAUAUGGGCAUAUGAUUCACAACACACAACUCUAUAAUUGUAAACUCCGACACAAAUAGUGAAUAUUUUCGGUAACCCUCUGUGGAUGUAGAUCUUUACGAUCGAACCACGAAAAUUCUUGAGUUCUUUUAGCUUUUUGUUAUAGCUAUUAUUUUUUGGCACAACACUAAGUAACAAAUUAUUAUUACAAUCAAACAUGAAAAUAGUAAUUAUAUAUAUGGAGGAGCGUUCCAAUGAGAUCCCUCAUAUAUGGUGAGAUCUUAGAUUGAUUUAUAGACGUUGAUUUAAUGUACUCUAUGACUGAUAUUUACUUGGAGGGGAAUUUUUUUACCGAAUUCGAAUCCUAGAGGGAGCGAAAAUCUUACUAAUUUUUCGAAUAUCGUUAUCACUAGGGCUGGAAAUUUUCGACACGACACGAAAACACGACACGAAACCGUACGAAAUUAAUGGGUUAGUAACACGCACGAUAAGGUUCGGGUCUUUAUCGGGUCGACCUGAUAAGGACCUGAUAAUUUCGGGUCGGGUUGGGUUGGGUUCGGGUCGGAUUCAGGUAACCCGAUAGUGAUAUUAUUAUUUUUAUUAAAUAUUUAUUUUAAUUUUUAAAUUUUCGAUUUCUUAGUUUAGGCCUUAGGGUUUCAUUCAUUUCAAAUUUCAAUCAAUUAUUUGCACUAGAGAUGGGUUGUUUGGAGAAAAAGGUAUGAGUUUUUUGUGUUAUUAAUGUUUAACAUUUUAUAUUACUUGUAUAUAUAUUUAAUAUUAAUUCUAUAUUUUUUUACGUUCUAAAGUCCUUCUAAAGCGAGUACCAGCAUCUAAGUUAGCCGAAGACUUUCUACAUGGCGAUGAUGAACCUCAAACCGAAUCUUCUUCGGUCUCCACUAUUGCUGUUGCAUGAAGGCUGUCACUUAGUCUAGUUAUGUUUUGAUUUGUUAAGCUCACUUGGAUUAUGUUGUAGUUAUGUUAGGGAUUGACGACUCUUGGUUGAUGCAUUGUUAUUUUCAUUUGAGCUUAUUAUAUUUUGUUAAGCUUAUUGGUUUAAUGCUUUAUAUUGAUUGGAUUUUUAGUUUGGCAUAUGUUGAAUUGUUGAUUUAUUGGAUAUGUUGAUUGUUGAGCAUAUGUGAUGAAUUUUGUAAUUUUUUUUAUAUUAUUAUUCAUGUGAAUGAAUUAAAUCAAAUUUGUGUUGUUAUCAGGUCGUAAUCAGAUCGUGUCGCUAUCGUGUUGUGUCAACCCGAUUCAAAUCGGGUUGUUAUCAGGUCGAAAUCAGAUCGUGUCGCUAUCGGGUCGUGUCAACCCGAUUCAAAUUGGGUUGUUAUCGGGUUCAGGUUGGGUUCGGGUUUAGGUGUAUCAGGUUGGGUUCGGGUUGGGUUCUAGCAUUCCCUUAUCAGGUCGGGUUCGGGUUUGGCCUUAUCAGGUCGGGUUGAUAUCAGGUUGACCCGAUAGCGAUCCGACCCGCACGAUUUGCCAGCCCUAGUUAUCACUAUAUACUGCAUUAUUCAACACUAUAUAGUGUCUUAUUCAUUAUAUUCAGGGUCUCACGAAAAAUAACAAUCUCACUAGAGCGUGUAUAUAUAUAUAGAGAGAGAGAGUGGAUCCAUGAAGAAUGGUAAGUAUUUUGAGAAUGGAGAAUGAAUAUAAUCGCUUAGAUUUAGUUAAUCAUACUGUCCAUAUUAAUUCUUUUAGGAUUGACCGAUUUUAUCCAUUAAGGUUAAUUAAGUAAUUUUUAUUUUUAUAAUGUAACCGUCCAUGAUUAAUUAAAGAUUGACCGUAUCUCUCUUUUAUUUUCUUAUAGUUUUGAAGAUAUCAAUCAUUAAUUUUUAUUCGGUUAUUUAUUAAUUUCGCCAAUUCUUGGGUGCGACCGUCGCACAAGUGUGCGACGGGUCGACCCGGCUCCCAACCCGCCCUCCUGACCCGGAACCCUGACCCGCGUGGGUUUGACCCAUAUUCCUAAUUAUUACAUCUAUUUAUAAUAAUUGUUCCUUUUAAUAAACAUAAUAUAUACAUUUGUUCAUAUAAAUGUAUAUUGAUAUGUAUAAUGUUUUAUAUUGAAUGAAGGUAAAUAUUUAUAUUAAUAUAAGUAUAUAUUUAUGCGACCAAAUGUAUAUCUUAUGCUUAUUAAAAGUAAAUACUCCUAUUAGGGUUUAGUGUUCAGGCUUAGGGUUUAGUUUACAGGGUUUAGGGUUUAAUGUUCAGGCUUAGGGUUUAGUUUACAUGGUUUAGGGUUUAGUUUAUAGAAUUUAAGGUUUAGAAAAUAUAAUACUUCAUAUUAAAUGAAGGUAAAUACCUAUAUUUAUAUAAGUAUACAUUUGUUCGCGUAUAUUUCAUGCUUAUUAAAAGUAAUAAUUAUUAUAAACAAAUGUAAUAAUUUAGGAUUCAGGAUUUCGGAUCUGGGCACGGGUCGGGUCGGGCGCGGGUCGGGGCGGACCCGUCGCACUGGAGUGCACCGCCGCAUGCAAGACCGGCCCUAUUAAUUUUUAUUUGUGUAUACUAGUUGACCAAAUCUUUUUCAUUUUCGGUAGAAAUUAGGCAUAUCUUUAUUUUAUGUGAAUUAAAAUUGUUGUUACCUUUUCAUGCAAUAUAUUGUUUCACAUAACGAUUUCAUUAUCAAGAUCGUAUAAUUAAUAAUAAAAAAAACUAUACAGCAAUUUAAGAAAUUAAAAGAACUAUUCCCAAAACCCUACCAAACCGUUUUGAUGCUGUUCUACAUCGACGAUUUUUUUUUUUUUAAUGAAUUUUGGUGUUUUCUUUUCUAUUCAAAUUUGAUGUUUUCUUUUAUAUUCAAAGCUUAAUUAUUCAUUUAGAAAAAUUAAAAGAAAAAUAUAUAUAUAAGGAAUUUCAACAAGAAAUAUUCAAAUUUUUUAUUUAGUUGUUCAUUUAUUAAGCUUGUUCUAGAAAUUUUGUGUUAAAUAUAUUAUGGCAGCAAGAAAAAUUCGAAUAUUUUAUUUAAAUAUUCGUAAUUUUGUUAUGCUUAUUCGAAAAAUUUUAUAUUAAAUAUUUGGGUUAAUUGUUGCUAAAUUCAAAAGCUUUUUGAGAAUUCGCGAUAUUCUCACCAACUUCAAAAUCGGUGUAUGAAUACAUGAAUUGAGAAUCCGAUCUUAAUGUUCCCAAAAGAAAAAAGAAAAAAACCCAAAUUGAAGGUGACGUGGACUACCGUAAAUACAGCAUGGCAUAAUCGGCGAUGCAAGAAAACAACGUGGUUUCUUUUAAAACAAUAUGACAUCAUUUUGAUUUCCAACAACAAUUGAAAAAAAGAAAAAAAAAUUGCAGAAAUCUCUCUCUCCUCGCCGAAAAAUUUGCAAAAAUCUCUCGCACACCAACAAUCGUAGGUCAUCACUCUCUCGCCUUUCUUACCUGAUUCUUGGUCCUAGGGUUUCGAUUUGGGGAUGGAGAAAGCCGCGGCAGCAGAAAGCCACCCACCGCCACUUUGCAACGCGGCCUCCUUUCCUUCAACUCGCCACCCCAAAUCGCGGCCCCCCUCUUCAAAUCGCGGCCUCCCUCUUCAAAUCGCCACCUUCAAAUCGCGGCCUCCCUCUGCAAAUGACGGCCUCCCUUCCUUCAAAUCUCUCUCUCUCUCUCUCAAAGAGAACUUUUUUCGAUUUUGGGCGACGGCAAUUGUGUUUGGGGAUGGGGGUAGAUGGAGAAGGCGAAGAGGGUUUGGGAAAGGAGGGUAGGCUUGGGGGGUGUUUGCAGGCCGGGAGCUUGGGGAGGUGGUGGUCAGGGUGACGCCGGGGGUUUGGGGAGGUGGUGGUUGGGGGGUUGGGGAAGGGGUUAGGAUUGGGGGGUGUUUGGGGAUGGGGUAGGGUAGGUGAUUUUUUUUAUUUUAAAUUAAUUAUAAAUAAAUAAAAUUAUUAAAAAAUUAACCAAUGACAUGUCAUGACUGAUUUGGCAUGAAACUGACAUGUCAUAGGUAUUUGCCAUGUCAUCUUGAUGGAUUUUUUAAUUUUGGGAACAUUAAGAACAAAUUAUUGAUUCAUGUAUUCAUACGCCGAUUUUAAAGUUGGUGAGAGUAUCGCGAAAUUACAAAAAGCUUUUGAAUUUUAUGGUAAUUAACUCAAAAUAUUUUUACAAUUCUCAAUCAGAUAUCAAUAUUCAGACUUCUUUACUAAAAUAUUCGUAAUUUUAUGAAUGAACAUAAAUCGAAUAACUAUUAUUUAAUUAUGAAUUAACACUCUAAAUUGUUGAAAACACGGAUUACUACUUUAAUAACUUGUAAUCUUAAUAAUUUAGAAAAAUACAAUAACAUUAUACUCCCUCCGUCCCUGAAAUGGCUUCCUCUUUGGGGACGGCACGGGUUUUAAUAAAAAGUUGUAAAGUGUAUUGAUAGUGGAGAAAAAGUGAUAUAAUUAUUAUUGGAAGUUGUGAAAAGUGUUAUAAUUAGCAUUGGGAGUGGUGAAAAGUGAAAAGUAAGAAUAAAUAAAGUAUUAUUAGUGGUGGGGUAGGUUUCCAAAAAUGGAAAGAAAGAAAGAGGAAGUUAUUUGGGGGGACGUCCCAAAAUGGAAAAAGAGGAAGUUAUUUUAGGGACGGAUGGAGUAUUAUUGUUCCAUCGUAAUAUAUCACACAAAACCACAUUGCAUACAUAUAUUAAUUAGUAUAGAUGUGAUCACCUACCCACCGUGGGCACGGAUAACGUGUGACAAAUUAAAUUAGAAAAGAGAAUUAACAAAUCUUCCUCUAAUUAAAAUUAUCUUAUUUUAAUUAUAAUUGCCACAUCAAUGGUGGUCACGUUACGUGCCCACGAUGGGUAGGUGAUCGCUUCUAUAAAUUAGUAUACCAAACAUGUAUUGUUGUCAUAUAUGCUUAUUAUUAUUUUGAAUAAGUCAUGAAACUUUAUGAAUAUACUUUAAGUUUAAUUGAAUAUUACAACUCGAGAACAAGUCAAUAACAAUACUUGAACUGAAUUUACUCAAGCCAAAAGAUUUCAAAAAUUUCACUCUAUAUAAGAACAUCAUAAUAAUGUGAACUUAAUUACGAUAUAAUUGAAAACAUCAUUAACACGUGAAUUUUUAAAUUUAUCUAAUCUACAGAGAACAAAAUAGUUACCCUUUUGUAAUUUCUCUUCUUAUUUCCGAUCAAAAAAAAAAAAUUCUCUUCUUAUUUUUGCUCAGUUUGAUCGAUUCAGUCCUCCCUUCUCAUGUAAUUAGCUCGUCUUGAUAUUCCAUUAAAUCCUUUGAUUUGAAGGGCUGAAUAUGAUAUCUUUCAGGUCAAAACAAGCUGGAAAAGAAUUUAACACUAGACUAAAACUUAACAAGGAAGAGACCAAAAACUUGAUGAAAUUAAUUUCAUCAUUACAUAGUGGUGAGAGUACUCAACUUAUAACUAACAUUAUUUGAUCUACAACUGUGUUUAAUAUGGUUAGUAAAUUACUAGGGCUCUCUUGAAAUGAUGAUUUUGGGUUUGAAUAAAAUUUGGCGAAGCAGAAGAUUUCCAAAAACCUAAUAAAUCCUUGAUAUAAAACCAUCAUAACCACACGUGAAUUUGAACAUUAUUCUAAUCUACGGAGAAGGAAAAAAGUUACCUUUUGUGCUUUUUCUUCUCGUCUUUGCUCGUCUAGAUCGACUUUCUGAUUCAAUCCUGUCUUCUUCCCAUAAAACCUUUGAUUUGAAUGGUAGAAUAUGAUACUAUGUUUCAUGCCAAAACAAAACCAUGAAAUGAAUAUUUUAAGCUAGACUUUAAACUAAACAAGGAAGAGAUCCUUCCG
rnacentral:lncRNA from 1 species